rnacentral:rRNA from 1 species
GAGGAUGCGAGCGUUAUCCGGAUUUAUUGGGUUUAAAGGGUGCGUAGGUGGCCCCGUCAGUCAGUGGUGAAAGUCCGUGGCUCAACCAUGGAAUCGCCAUUGAAACCACGGGGCUUGAGUAUGAUUGAGGUAGGCGGAACGCGUGGUGUAGCGGUGAAAUGCAUAGAUAUCACGCAGAACCCCGAUUGCGAAGGCAGCUUACCAAGCCAUGACUGACACUGAGGCACGAAAGCGUGGGUAUC